AUUUCAUCAUCAUAUCAAAUAAAAAUAGAAGUGAAAAUUAACUUAAAUACAUAUAAAUAAUAUUAAGAUUGAAAGUUCUCUAUAUUUUUACUGGCAUAUACAUCUAUGAUAAGGUCAAAAUACUCCUAGGAAAAACCAAUAGGUUCAAUAAUAGUGAUAAUAAUAUUAAUAUUGAAAGUUCUCUAUAUUUUUACUGGCAUAUACAUCUAUGAUAAGGUCAAAAUACUCCUAGGAAAUACCGAAAGAUUCAAAAUCAACGUGUUAUUUUAUUCCAUUGUGUCCUAUCUUUAACUAAGUCGGAAUUUAUUCCAAAACUUAGUAGGUUUUCGAGACAAUUUCCUUCCAUGUGAUUCUCGUCCCGUUUUAAGUUUUAACACCUUCACUCACCAAGAAAGUAAACAUGCACAUAAUGUUAACUUUUUCCUUUGAUGUGAAAAAUUCAGAGCACUUACAGCUGACAGCCAAACUUGAUUAGAUACUUGUUGGGCAGCUUUGUUUUUCCCUGGAGGCACAACGGAAGGACAAAUCAAUAGGAAGUACAGCAAGAAAUAAAUAAGAAAUCAUAAAGAACACAUAAAUGCCUCCACCAAUAUUUAACUAAAUAAAGUAGCAUAAAUCUACUGAACUGCUGGUUCAAAUUCAUCAGUUGUAUGAUCUAGACCUUAAGAUAUUUAAGAUAUCAUAUGUGUGAUCAUUGCAAGGAAAUUUAAUGGCAGCUCUUGUGAAGCUAAUUGAUGAGAAAAAUCUUCAAAAAGAAACUGUAGAUAAUAUACAGAAAUGGAAGGUGAUUCGCAGCUCCAUGAGCAAGCCAGUGGAAAAUAUG
rnacentral:lncRNA from 1 species